ensembl:lncRNA
ACUUAAAACCUUUUGUACAACAAAGGAAAGCAUCAACAAAAUGAUAAAAGACAACUUACAGAAUAGGAGAAAAUAUUUGCAAAUGAUAUGACUGAUAAGGGGUUUAUAUUCAAAAUAUAUAAACAGCUAACAUAACUCAAUAUAGGAAAAUACAAAAUUGGUAAAAAACCUGAAUAGACAUUUUUUGAAAGUAAUACAGAUGACCAAUAGGCACAUGAAAAUAUGCUAAACAUCACUAAUCAUCAUAAAAAUGCAAAUCAAAACCACAAUGAGGGAGAUGCUAAAAAGGGGGAAUCCGAGUACAUUGUUGUUGGAAAUGUAAACUGGUUCAGCCACUAUUAAAAACAAAAUGGAUGUUCCACAGAAAACUGAAAACAGAACUACCAUAUCGUCCAGCAAUUCAAAUCCUGAGUGUAUAUUCAAAGAAAAUGAAAACAUUAAUUUGAAAGGAUACAUCAACCGUGGUGUUCACAGCAGCAUCACUUACAAUAACCAACAAAUGGAAGCAACCUAAUUUCCAUCAACAGAUGAAUGGAUAAAGAAAAUGAAGUAUAUGUACACAAUAGAAUACUAGUCAGACAUAAAAAAGAAUGAAAUAUUGGACUUCCCAUUCUGGCGAAGCAAAAACUAGUAUCCAUGAGGAUAUGGGUUCGAUACUCAGCCUUGCUCAGUGGGUUAAGAAUCUGACAUUGCCGUGAGCUGUGGGGUAGGUCACAGAUGUGGCUCAGAUCCCAUGUUGCUGUGCCUGUGGUGUAUGCUGGUAGUUGUAGCUCUAAUUUGACCCCCAUCCUGGGAACCUCCAAGUGCCAAGGAUACGGCCAUAAAAGGCAAAAAAAAAAAAAAAAGCAUGAAGUUUUGCCAGUUGCAAAAUCAUGCAUGGACCUGGAGGGUAUUAUGCCUAGUGAAAUAAGUUAGAGAAAGACAAGUAUUGUAUGUUAUCACUUACAUAUGUAACCCAAAAUAUAAAAUGAAUAUAACAAAACAGAAAUACACUCACAAAUGUAGACAAGAAACUAGAAGACAGGAGGGGCAAAAUCAGGGUAGGGAAUUAAGAAGUAGAAACUACUAUGUAUAAACUAAUUAAGCUACAAGGAUAUAUUGUACAGCACAGGGAAUAUAGCCAAUACUUUAUAAUAACUUCAAAUGAAGUAUAAUCUGUAAAAAUUGUGAAUCACUAUGUUGUACACCUGAAACUAAUAUUGUAAAUCAAACAUAUGUCAAUUAAAAACAUAGGAUCACCUCUUUGGUUAGUAGGUAAAUGUGUUUGUGGUAGUAAUAAAUAAAUAAGGCAAUACAAAAACACAUUUACUUUAGGAGGUCCUGCUGUGGCACAGUGGGUUAGGAAUCUGAAGUGGCUCAGGUCACUGCAGAGGUAAAGGCUCAAUCUCUGAACCAUCACAGUAGGUUAAUGAUCUGGCCUGCCACAGCUUGGGCAGAGGUCACAGCUGUGGCACAGAUCAUAGCAGUGCUCUGAUUUAAUCCCUUUAUGCCACAGACGCAGGCAUAAAAUUCAAAAAAAAAAAAAAACAAACAAAAAAAAACACAUUACUUUGCUCUGGUCCCCUUAUUGAAACUUGAAAAAAUUGUAAACAUUAUAUUUUUUAUUUUUUGGUUUUUUGGCCAUACCAGAAUAUUCAGAAGUUCCCAAACCAGGAAGCAAACCUAUUCCACUACUGUGACACAAGCCAUAGCAGUGUCCUUAACCUGCUAUGCCACCAAGGGAACUCUGUGAACAUUUAAAAAGUAAAUAAACUAAAUGAAGAAACAAACAUGAGCAUACAAUGUACUAAAUGCCACAAAGCUUUAAAUAAAUAUUUAAAGAAAAAAUGAUUAUUCAUUGUAGAAUAACAUGCUAUGAAAUAGACAUUUUCAUAUAUUGCCAACAGUAAUACAAGGAUUUAGAAAACAACUUGGCAAUAAUCCUUUGACCUUAUCUUGAAUAAAUCUGCCUUUUUCAUGUAUAUAAAUAAAAUAAUUCUAAGGAAAUAAUUUUAAUGACAAGAGAUAUGAAUCUAAGAAUUAUUUAAAACAGCCAAAAAAAAACUGCGAAUAAGUAAAAUGUGCAAUAAUGACUAAGUAAACAGUCAUGUAUAAAAGUCACAUGAUACCAUACCAGUCACUAUAAGUAAUUCAGAAAGUUCAAUUACAAUAUGAAAACUACUUCAUGCUAAAAUGUUCACUAGCAUUAAGAUUAAGAUGGCGGAAUAGAAGGACUAUAGCUCAACUCCUCUCCUAAAAACAACAAAAUUUACAAACCAAAUACCCAGCACUCUCCACCCAAAUGGAGCAGAAACAUUGAAAAAUAUAUCCUACUCCAGAAGAAAAAGAGGAGGCCACAUCAAGAGGCAGAAGAGGCAAUUACACUAUAUAAACAACCCCAUACCUCCCAGGUGGGAAGCCCCACAGACUGGAAACUAACUGUAUCACAGAGACUCACCCAAAGGAGUGAGAGUUCUGAGCCCCACAUCAAACCCCCAUGCGUGGGGAUCUGGCACUGGGAGAAAGAGCUCCUGGAGCAUCUGGCAUUGAAGGCCAGUGGGGCUUGUGCACAGGAGCUCCAUGGGACUGGGGGAAACGGAGAACCCAUUUUUAAAAGGUGCACACAUACUUUCAAGUGCACUAGGUCCCAAGGCAAAGCUAACUCUCCACAGGAAUGUGGGUUAAAGCUGACUGCCAUUCUUGGAGGACCUCCUGGCAAAACAGGGGUGAAUGUGCCUUGCUGGGGGGAAGGACAUUGGAAGCAAAGAUCUUGGGAAUAUUCAGCAGCAUGCCUUUCUCUGAAGGGGGACAUUUUGGGAUAAUCUGGCCCCACUCAUCAGCCCUGAGAAGCCCCAGGGCAAACAACAAUCCAGGUGGGAUGACACAAAUAUCCAACAGUAAACAGGCUGCCUAAAGUCCCCGAAGGCACACAGCUGCCUCUAAUCUCAUCCAGACACAAAGCCCAACACACCAGAGGGAUAGGAUCAGCUCCACCUACCAGUGGGCAGGCAUCAGCCCCUCCCAUCAGGAAGCCUACAGCAAGCCCCCAUACUGACUUCAGCCACAAGGGGGGCAGACACCAGAAGUGAGAGAGGCUACAAUGCUAUUAUCUGUAAAAAGGUCACCACACCAAAAACCUAUAAAAAUGAAAAGACAGAGAACUAUAACUCAGAUGAGGGAGAAAGACAAAACCCCAGAAUAUCAGCUAAGUGAUCAGGAGAUUCUUGGCCUCCAGGAAAAAGACUUUAGAUUGUUGAUGC